rnacentral:tRNA from 1 species
GCCGCUGUAGCAUAGCCUGGCCUAUUGCGCCGGACUCAUAAUCCGGAGGUCGCGCGUUCAAAUAUCCCAGAGGGAGACCACGUCCCGCCAGCGGCA